UGCUGCAGGCGCCAGUGGGUGAUGACGUUGGAGCUCUGGGUGAAGCUCUUGCCGCAGUCGGGGCAGACGUAGGGCCGCUCGCCGGUGUGGACACGCUUGUGCUUGCCCUACUCUCACUUUUUCCGUCCUUUGGGACCUGUUUAUAUCUGUUAUGGGAGUCGGAUGGAGAAACCUCGGAGUCUGACUGGGAGCUGCUGGUGGUGAUUUACAGUGAAUAAUUCACUCUGCAGCUGGAGAUAUUUCAGAGAAGGAUUAUUAUGGGAUCUAAUUCUGCUCUGGCAGCCUGUGCUGUCCAAAGGCAGUGCUGGUACCAGUUCAGCAGUGUGUGUAGUCUCGAUAGACAUGAACAGCAACGGCACCGUGUUUGCUUUUUCAGAUGGAAAACUAAAGCACGUAAUUUCUGCUGGUACUACAUUUAAUGAACUACUUUCCCAUGUAACUUUGCAUAAUCUUAAGUUAUUCAUAUCUAUUUAAAGAAAGGUUUGUGUUCCGCCCAGGAAAAGUAAGUUUAAUUACUGACCUGGUCAGGUGGUUGGUGCGACGUACAAAGCUGCUGCAAAGGAGUGGGUGGCGUCGUCUCCAGCAGCCGUCUGUUCCUUGAUUUGGUGCUUGGCGUGCUGCAAACCCAAGCCAGAACAGAACACGUGCUGCUGCACAUCCCCAUCUGGGGAAGAUUUUUUUGUUUCCCCCCUUGUUUUGUUUCUUUUUCCUCCUGGUCCUGGCCACUCUGCUGUACAUAAUGCAGUGAUGGAUGGUGGGGAGAUGGCUGGUGGGUCUGGAUGUGGAAGGGUGCGUAGGGGUGAAGCAGACGCCCAGCGCAGAGGAGGGUUGGUCUGUGAAGUGUAACUGGUUUGUGAGACUGUGGGACUGUAAAUUCAUUCAAGGGGCUUUGUGGUUUCUGGUGCCACCCUGGCAGGUGGGCGGCUAUUCUUGCGUGUGGGUGUGGAAGGCAAGGGCGCACUGCAACGCACAAAGCUUGCUUGUUUUCCACCCGGGAAUCCCAAUGGAGGAGGUGAUGGUGCCGUGAAGAGAUAGUUGUGAAGAUGCUAAGGACAGCUGUGUGUCUCAUGUAGAAUAAAAUUCUCAGUGCUGCGUGUGUGUGUGACCUGGUGCGGUGUUUCAGCAUUAUGUGUCAUACCUGCUGUGGUGUCCACCCUCGCCGCAGCUUGUCUUUGUCUCUGCCGUGUCCCCGCGGUCCUGGCGGCGUCAGGGGUUUUGUUGGAUGUGCCACUGGCCGAGGGGGUGGCAGUCGCUCGGGCUCCUGCCGGCGCAGCGGUGACAGUUGGGGAUGGCCAGUGGUGGUGGCACGGCCAGCGGUUUGAAGCUGCAGUGUAUCUGCCGCAGGCACGUUCGUUUCCCCAGGAAUUUGGGGUUCCC